rnacentral:rRNA from 1 species
AUUGAACGCUGGCGGCAUGCUUUACACAUGCAAGUCGAACGGUAACAGGCCGCAAGGUGCUGACGAGUGGCGAACGGGUGUGUAAUGCAUCGGAACGUGCCCAGUCGUGGGGGAUAACUACUCGAAAGAGUAGCUAAUACCGCAUACGAUCUAUGGAUGACAGCGGGGGACCGUAAGGCCUCGCGCGAUUGGAGCGGCCGAUGUCGGAUUAGGUAGUUGGUGGGGUAAAGGCUCACCAAGCCAACGAUCUGUAGCUGGUCUGAGAGGACGACCAGCCACACUGGGACUGAGACACGGCCCAGACUCCUACGGGAGGCAGCAGUGGGGAAUUUUGGACAAUGGGCGCAAGCCUGAUCCAGCAAUGCCGCGUGCAGGAAGAAGGCCUUCGGGUUGUAAACUGCUUUUGUACGGAACGAAACGGCUCUGGUUAAUACCCGGGGCUAAUGACGGUACCGUAAGAAUAAGCACCGGCUAACUACGUG